rnacentral:tRNA from 1 species
GCAGUGGUAGCUCAGGUGGAUAGAGCGCCCGCCUGCUAAGCGAGAGGACGCGGGUUCGAGUCCCGCCUACUCUCCUA